rnacentral:lncRNA from 1 species
CCCAAUAAGUUGUUCUGAAAGGCGAAGUUCAACUGAAAUAUGCAAAAAAUUGCAAUAUACACAGAGCAAAAGAAAAUUACUGGUUGGAAGAUUUAAACCACAUGCUCUUUUCUACAGAGCGAA